ACGUGGAUAACCUACCUAUAAGACUGGGAUAACUUCGGGAAACCGGAGCUAAUACCGGAUAAUAUAUUGAACCGCAUGGUUCAAUAGUGAAAGACGGUUUUGCUGUCACUUAUAGAUGGAUCCGCGCCGCAUUAGCUAGUUGGUAAGGUAACGGCUUACCAAGGCAACGAUGCGUAGCCGACCUGAGAGGGUGAUCGGCCACACUGGAACUGAGACACGGUCCAGACUCCUACGGGAGGCAGCAGUAGGGAAUCUUCCGCAAUGGGCGAAAGCCUGACGGAGCAACGCCGCGUGAGUGAUGAAGGUCUUCGGAUCGUAAAACUCUGUUAUUAGGGAAGAACAAAUGUGUAAGUAACUAUGCACGUCUUGACGGUACCUAAUCAGAAAGCCACGGCUAACUACGUGCCAGCAGCCGCGGUAAUACGUAGGUGGCAAGCGUUAUCCGGAAUUAUUGGGCGUAAAGCGCGCGUAGGCGGUUUUUUAAGUCUGAUGUGAAAGCCCACGGCUCAACCGUGGAGGGUCAUUGGAAACUGGAAAACUUGAGUGCAGAAGAGGAAAGUGGAAUUCCAUGUGUAGCGGUGAAAUGCGCAGAGAUAUGGAGGAACACCAGUGGCGAAGGCGACUUUCUGGUCUGUAACUGACGCUGAUGUGCGAAAGCGUGGGGAUCAAACAGGAUUAGAUACCCUGGUAGUCCACGCCGUAAACGAUGAGUGCUAAGUGUUAGGGGGGUUUCCGCCCCUUAGUGCUGCAGCUAACGCAUUAAGCACUCCGCCUGGGGAGUACGACCCCCAGGUUGAAACUCAAAGGAAUUGCCGGGGACCCGCACAAGCGGUGGAGCAUGUGGUUUAAUUCGAAGCAACGCGAAGAACCUUACCAAAUCUUGACAUCCUUUGACCCCUCUAGAGAUAGAGUUUUCCCCUUCGGGGGACAGAGUGACAGGUGGUGCAUGGUUGUCGUCAGCUCGUGUCGUGAGAUGUUGGGUUAAGUCCCGCAACGAGCGCAACCCUUAAGCUUAGUUGCCAUAAGUUGGGCACUCUAAGUUGACUGCCGGUGACAAACCGGAGGAAGGUGGGGAUGACGUCAAAUCAUCAUGCCCCUUAUGAUUUGGGCUACACACGUGCUACAAUGGACAAUACAAAGGGCAGCGAAACCGCGAGGUCAAGCAAAUCCCAUAAAGUUGUUCUCAGUUCGGAUUGUAGUCUGCAACUCGACUAUAUG
rnacentral:rRNA from 1 species